rnacentral:rRNA from 1 species
GACGAACGCUGGCGGCGUGCUUAACACAUGCAAGUCGAACGGUGAACCUCUGCGGAGGGGAUCAGUGGGGAACGGGUGAGUAACACGUGGACAAGCUGCCCCCGGCUCUGGGAUAACUCCAAGACAUGGGGGCUAAUACUGGAAGUUCACCGCUUCUCGCGUGGCUGGUGGUGGAAAGGGUGUGCGGCUGGGUAUGGGCACGCGGCCUAUCAGCUUGUCAGUGGGGUAGUGGCCUACCAAGGCGACGACGGGUAGCCGGCCUGGGAGGGUGACCGGCCACACUGGGACUGAGACACGGCCCAGACUCCUACGGGAGGCAGCGGUGGGGAAUAUUGCGCAAUGGGCGGAAGCCUGACGCAGCGACGCCGCGUGGGGGAUGACGGCCUUCGGGUUGUAAACCUCUUUCAGCAGGGACGAAGCGCGAGUGACGGUACCUGCAGAAGAAGCACCGGCCAACUACGUG